rnacentral:rRNA from 1 species
GUCUACAGCCAUACCACCCUGGACGUGCCCGAUCUCGUCUGAUCUCGGAAGCUAAGCAGGGUCAGGCCUGGUUAGUACUUGGAUGGGAGAUAAUGCAUGGAGGUGUGUUAC